rfam:Clostridium sp. CAG:609 genomic scaffold, scf78
AUCUUGUGACAAAUGCUGCAUAAAAUAGUUAUGUAGAGGAAAGUCCAUGCUCGCACAAGCUGAGAUGCUUGUAGUGUUUGUGCCUAAGGAAAAAAUAACUUAGGGUAGUUUAUAACUAACGGCUUCGAGGAAACCUCAAAUGGUUUUAGUAGAUAUAAAAGUGCCAAAGAGACGAGUUACAAGGGAAACUUUGUAAGUGGAACGUGGUAAACCCCGCAAGCGAGAAACCCAAAUUUUGGUAGGGGAGCCUUGAUUCUUAAGAAAUGAAUUAAGAAUGGGUAUCAAAAGAUAAGAUAAAUAUUUGUCACUUCAUAUGAAGAACAAAACAUGGCUUACUUAG